rnacentral:rRNA from 1 species
GCUAAUUCCGUGCCAGCAGCCGCGGUAAUACGGGAGUGGCAAGCGUUAUCCGGAAUUAUUGGGCGUAAAGCGUCCGCAGGCGGCCUUUCAAGUCUGCUGUUAAAACGUGGAGCUUAACUCCAUCAUGGCAGUGGAAACUGUUGGGCUUGAGUGUGGUAGGGGCAGAGGGAAUUCCCGGUGUAGCGGUGAAAUGCGUAGAUAUCGGGAAGAACACCAGUGGCGAAGGCGCUCUGCUGGGCCAUAACUGACGCUCAUGGACGAAAGCCAGGGGAGCGAAAGGGAUUAGAUACCCCUGUAGUCCUGGCCGUAAACGAUGAACACUAGGUGUCGGGGGAAUCGACCCCCUCGGUGUCGUAGCCAACGCGUUAAGUGUUCCGCCUGGGGAGUACGCACGCAAGUGUGAAACUCAAAGGAAUUGACGGGGGCCCGCACAAGCGGUGGAGUAUGUGGUUUAAUUCGAUGCAACGCGAAGAACCUUACCAGGGUUUGACAUCCUGCGAAUCUCUUGGAAACGAGAGAGUGCCCUCGGGAACGCAGUGACAGGUGGUGCAUGGCUGUCGUCAGCUCGUGUCGUGAGAUGUUGGGUUAAGUCCCGCAACGAGCGCAACCCACGUCUUUAGUUGCCAGCAUUUAGUUGGGCACUCUAGAGAGACCGCCGGUGAUAAACCGGAGGAAGGUGUGGAUGACGUCAAGUCAUCAUGCCCCUUACAUCCUGGGCUACACACGUACUACAAUGCUACGGACAAAGAGCAGCAAGUUCGCGAGGACAAGCAAAUCUCAUAAACCGUGGCUCAGUUCAGAUCGUAGGCUGCAACUCGCCUACGUGAAGGAGGAAUCGCUAGUAAUCGCACGUCAGCAUACUGCGGUGAAUACGUUCCCGGGCCUUGUACACACCGCCCGUCACACCAUGGAAGUUGGCCACGCCCGAAGCCGUUACUCCAACCCUUGUGGAGGAGGACGUCGAAGGUGGGGCUGAUGACUGGGGUGAAGUCGUAACAAGGUAGCCGUACCGGAAGGUGCGGCUG